AGUACGAGAGGACCGGGAUGGACAUACCUCCGGUGCACCAGUUGUCAUGCCAAUGGCAUAGCUGGGUAGCCGCGUAUGGAUGUGAUAAACGCUGAAAGCAUCUAAGCAUGAAGCACACCUCAAGAUUAGAUAUCCAACACCUUCAAGGUGAUAAGGUCGCUUGUAGACUACGAGCUUGAUAGGUCGCAGGUGUAAGUACAGCAAUGUAUUCAGCUAAGCGAUACUAAUAGACCGAAGGCUUGAACUAC
rnacentral:rRNA from 1 species